rnacentral:rRNA from 1 species
UACGUAGGGUGCAAGCGUUGUCCGGAAUUAUUGGGCGUAAAGAGCUUGUAGGCGGUUUGUCGCGUCUGCUGUGAAAAACUCGGGGCUUAACUCCGGGCCUGCAGUGGGUACGGGCAGACUAGAGUGUGGUAGGGGAGACUGGAAUUCCUGGUGUAGCGGUGAAAUGCGCAGAUAUCAGGAGGAACACCGGUGGCGAAGGCGGGUCUCUGGGCCGAUAUUGACGCUGAGGAGCGAAAGCGUGGGGAGCGAACAGG